AUCGAUGAAGAACGCAGCGAAAUGCGAUAAGUAAUGUGAAUUGCAGAAUUCAGUGAAUCAUCGAAUCUUUGAACGCACCUUGCGCCCGCUGGUAUUCCGGCGGGCAUGCCCGUUUGAGUGUCUUGAAACCAUCAACCCCCCGCCUUUGCGGGCGCGGGGGUUGGACGUGGGGGACUUGCUGCGCGCGAGCGCGGCUCCCCUUAAAUGCAUCGGUUGGGCUUGGGAUCGCCUGCGUGCCUCUGGCGUUGUAUCUACCUCGCUUGCUGGCCAUCGGCUUUCCCCUUGCGCGCUCGGCCUUGACCUUGCCUCUGGAGUGGCAGUCGACUUUGACGGUUUUUCCGUUCUUUCUUCUGACCUCAAAUCGGGUAGGACUACCCGCUGAACUUAAGCAUAUCAAUAAGCGGAGGAAAAGAAACUAACAAGGAUUCCCCUAGUAACUGCGAGUGAAGAGGGAAAAGCUCAAAUUUAAAAUCUGGCAGUCUUUGAUUGUCCGAGUUGUAAUUUAGAGAAGUGUUACCCGUGUUGGCCCGUGUACAAGUUUCCUGGAAUGGAACGUCAUAGAGGGUGAGAAUCCCGUCUUUGACACGGACUACCAAUGCAUUGUGGUAUGCUCUCGAAGAGUCGAGUUGUUUGGGAAUGCAGCUCUAAAUGGGUGGUAAAUUCCAUCUAAAGCUAAAUAUUGGGGAGAGACCGAUAGCGAACAAGUACCGUGAGGGAAAGAUGAAAAGAACUUUGGAAAGAGAGUUAAACAGUACGUGAAAUUGCUGAAAGGGAAACGCUUGAAGUCAGUCGCGUUAGUCGGGGAUCAGCCUUCCUUUUGGUUGGUGUACUUCCUGAUUGACGGGUCAGCAUCAGUUUUGACCGGUGGAUAAGAGCUUGAGGAAUGUGGCAUCUUCGGGUGUGUUAUAGCCUCUUGUUGUAUACAUCGGUUGGGACUGAGGAACUCAGCACGCCGCAAGGCCGGGUUUUUAACCACGUACGUGCUUAGGAUGCUGGCAUAAUGGCUUUAAUCGACCCGUCUUGAAACACGG
rnacentral:rRNA from 1 species